GUAGGUGGCAAGCGUUGUCCGGAAUUAUUGGGCGUAAAGCGCGCGCAGGCGGUUCUUUAAGUCUGAUGUGAAAGCCCACGGCUCAACCGUGGAGGGUCAUUGGAAACUGGAGAACUUGAGUACAGAAGAGGAAAGCGGAAUUCCACGUGUAGCGGUGAAAUGCGUAGAGAUGUGGAGGAACACCAGUGGCGAAGGCGGCUUUCUGGUCUGUAACUGACGCUGAGGCGCGAAAGCGUGGGGAGCAAACAGGAUUAGAUACCCUGGUAGUCCACGCCGUAGACGAUGAGUGCUAAGUGUUAGGGGGUUUCCGCCCCUUAGUGCUGCAGCUAACGCAUUAAGCACUCCGCCUGGGAGUACGGCCGCAAGGCUG
rnacentral:rRNA from 1 species